ACACUGCGCACAGACAAGAAAGGAAAUACAUUUUUCGGAGUUGUGAAACUUUCUAUUUCGUAAGGAGUUAUGAACGUGAAAUAAUGACACAGACUGGCUACACAAUCUCAUCUGCCGCAGAUACUGUAUCAGGAGGACUUUUCACUUCAACUGUGUCUGACAGGAUAAUUAGCUUUCUGAGCCUACUAGCCUUGAGAGUUACCAUGGCAACCCCGGACACAUCAGCUGGUGGAGAGGAGAGGUUUCUGACAUUUUCUCUGUUUCUCGUCAGUUAUACCAAAGAAAAGUUCAAAAACUGCGACAGAUUGCUUAAUUUGUUUAUUUCUAAUAAGGAGUUGGAGGCUGUGGAGAAGCAGAUCCUUGACCUCGUGGGGAAGCAGGCUCAGCUGAGAGAGCGGAGAGCCGUGCUGGAAACAUUCAGGGGUUGAUGCUCAUAAGUCCGGGGUAAGUAUACGUUCAUGCUAUGUUAGCUGAAGGUUAUGUGCACACUCACUGUUUCCCUGGUGCUCGUGUUCUUGAUAUUUCUGCACAGAUACCCAUGAUCCUUAAGGGUGAAGAGAGCAUCGGAGCGGUCGUGCUUCACGCCGGGGUUAAUGACACCAAGCUGCGGCAGACGCAGACACUAAAGAGGGACUUCAGGAGCCUGAUCGAGACGGUGCGCAGCAUAUCGCCUGCACGAUGAUCAUGUCAGGACCGCUUCACCAUGUAUAGAUGAGGACACGAAAGGUUCAGUAGACUUUUUGCUUUAAAUGAAUGGUUAUUGUCAUGGUGUAAAGAACAGAAACUGCUUUUUGUUAACAUUUGGAAUCUGUUCUGGGAGCGUCCUAGGCUUUUUAGUGCUGAUGGCCUGCACCCCAGCAGAGUCGGAGCAGAACUUCUCUCGGACAACAUCUCCAGGACUCUACGCUCCAUAUGACUAGGCAGUUUGUGAAGACAGAUAAUCAAGAGAUGUGACAAACUGUACAGAAGUCAGUUCCAGAUCCACCCUCUACACCAGACCUCUCUCUCAUAUGGAUUGCUGUCUACUAGCAUAUUGUUUUCUCUUCAGACUUCGGUGGAUGCAGAUAUUACUCAGGGACAUGAAUACUUGAAUAUUGCAAGAAUAGAGAAAGUAAGAAUUACAUAAGAUUUAAGAAUUUAAUGUUAAUUGCUUAAACUAUAUAUUAUACAUACAGUACAGACCAA